rnacentral:rRNA from 1 species
CCUACGGGAGGCAGCAGUGGGGAAUAUUGGGCAAUGGGCGCAAGCCUGACCCAGCAACGCCGCGUGAAGGAAGAAGGCUUUCGGGUUGUAAACUUCUUUUGUCAGGGAAGAGUAGAAGACGGUACCUGACGAAUAAGCCACGGCUAACUACGUGCCAGCAGCCGCGGUAAUACGGGGGUGGAACGCGUUGUGCGGAUUUACUGGGUGUAAAGGGCGUGUAGCCGGGUUGACAAGUCAGAUGUGAAAUCCUGCGGCUUAACCGCAGAACUGCAUUUGAAACUGUUGAUCUUGAGUACUGGAGAGGCAGAUGGAAUUCCUAGUGUAGCGGUGAAAUGCGUAGAUAUUAGGAGGAACACUAGUGGCGAAGGCGGUCUGCUGGACAGCAACUGACGGUGAGGCGCGAAAGCGUGGGGAGCAAACAGGAUUAGAUACCCGUGUAGUC